AAGUUUGAUAGAGGUUGCGUGUUUCAAGAGUAAGUCAUCCGAUGUAUUCAGGUACAGGCGAAGGUGGCCAAAAGGGGAAAACGCCGAAAGCUGGAUUGCACCUGAAGCUUGCAGCUUGGGCAUGGAGCUAAGAACUCUAUGACUGUCAUCGAAUGACGAUGGGGCGCUAUCUGAAAG
rfam:Firmicutes bacterium CAG:56 genomic scaffold, scf504